GAUGAACGCUGGCGGCGUGCCUAAUACAUGCAAGUCGAACGAACAGACGAGUAGCUUUCUCCUCUGAGUGUAGCGGCGGACGAGCGGUUAACACGUCGAUAACCUACCUAUAAGAUUUUGAGGACUUCCGGAUAACAGUGCUGAUAACGGAGGAUAUAUUGAGCCUGUUGCUUCAUGAGUCUGAGACGGUUUUUGUUUCGGUUGUGGAUGGGUCCGCGCCGUAUUAGCUUGUUGGUGAGGUGACGGCUUACCAAGGCGGCGAUGGGUAGCCGGCCUGCGAGGAGGGUGGGCGACCACGGAACGGCUGCACGACCCCGCAUCCUCCGGGAGGAAGCAGCAGGGAAUAUUACGCAACGGUGGAAAGCCUGAUGGUGCAACGCCGCGUGAGUGAUGAAGGUCUUCUGCUCGUAAAGAUCUGUUAUCAGGGAAGAACAAAUGUGUAAGUAUCUAUGCACGUCUUGACGGUACCUAAUCAGAAAGCCCCGGCUAACUACGUG
rnacentral:rRNA from 1 species